CCUGCAUUUACAUGAUAUUGCUACGAACGCGUGCAAAUUACAUAAUUUGUUAUACAUGCUGCUUAACUUGUUCACCGGUGUGCUGUUAAUUGGACCUUAAGAACAGAGAUGACACCUUACCAUAGGCAGCUCUUAAUUAUGUGUGCGUUAAUUCAAUUCUAAAAGUUGAUUCAAGUCUGUUGUGCUUGAAGUAGAUUCAUAGAAGCAAUUCCGUUAGUAUGUGAACAAAAAGCUUAUCUUAUACUCCCUCCGUCCGAAAUUACUUGUAAUGGAAAUGAAUGUAUCUAGACAUUUUUUAGUUCUAGAUACACCCAUUGUUAUUUAUUUUGGAGACAAGUAAUUUCGGACGAAGGGAGUAUGUGUGACCAGAGUUGCAGAAUAUGAAUAGGGGAAUGAUCAUAGAUGCCAACACCUACAGUGUGAUUUAUCUUGGUAGAGGUGCACUGGAUUCGUAAGUAGUUUUAGUGUUUUUUCUAGAUAGCUCAAGUAUUUAAGCUUCUGCAAUCAUGAAAAACAGAGUAGUCCAUUAAUCCUUCUAUAGGUGGUCUCGUUGAUGCCUUUCCCCCUUCAUUAACAGUACAAUGAUGCUUUCUCUGUUAACCUUCUCUGUGGUGUUGGGCGCCGCGCUCUUGACCUUGAAAGUGUAUUUGCAAUUUUACUCAUAAUACUUUUGUGUGAUAAUAAUGCUUUUGUGUGAUAGUGAGGCAAUUUAGUUGCAUGCCUUCAGUUACAAAAAAAGUAACAAGAGUUGAAAAUACGAAUUGGUCAUCAAUGGCCGCAGAACAGGAGAGCAAUUUCAAUGGACAAUGGAAACAUGAGUAAAACAAGCAGCUAAACGGAGGCCGCUUGCCCAGAGUGUCUCGGAGGAGGAUGUCACUGCCGCUAGAUUGGCGGAUGACUACUUCUUGGUGGUCUAUGGAUGUCGCACUGUAUGGAUCUUUAUCUGUAGUUGGAUAGUUCCUGACCUCAUUCCAGGAGGCUGAUUGGAGCCUGCCAGCUGCAAUGAAGUCCUCCAGAGAUAAGGGUUUGCAGAAAAUGAUCUUGGCAUCCCAGAUAAGCAGGUCGAGGUCAAAGCCGGUGCCCAGGGGGAUUUCAAUGGAUCACCAACACGAGAAACUGAAAUGGCAGGACCAGAAAAGAUGGUCCCAGAUCUCACUGCAGCCGGAUGUGCAAGAACACAUCAAUGAUCAUCUGUGAGACUGUGACACUGAAAUUUUGUCGAUGGAGCAUUGCCUCUGCUAUUUAGCUUCUAGAGUACAAUGACCUGUACGUACAACUAUAACAGCUAACAGCAUGGUUUAUCCCUUCUGAUUGUACUAUUUCUCUAGAGUGAUGGCAUAGGAAGAGCGUGUGUAUAUGUUGAGGUUAGUCUUCUGAAACUAAUGCUCCAGAUGUUCUCUGUAAACUAAUGCUGCAAGUGUUUGUUUGGGACAAGCCCAAAUAGUGUUCCAAUUUUUAUGAAAA